rnacentral:lncRNA from 1 species
AAACUUUGUAGCAUCAUGUGUAGCAAUGAAUAUUCAUGGAAAAAGACUAAUUGUGUCAAAAUUCCAUUUGGAACUAAAAAGAGCAGAGGAUUAACCAGCCAGAAAAAAUCUACGAGUGGAGACAUCUGAACAUUUCUUCCAGAACCAUGGUGUGACUAGCCCCAUAUCCUGCAGUGAUGAUGGCCCGUCUACAGCUCAGCGUGGCUCUGCUCGCCCUCUUCUACUUCACCGCUGCGGCCUUGGACCUGGAGAGCAAGGCCCAAAUCAGAAAGGAGGUGACAGCCCUGGAGAAGGAGAAGCAGGGCAUCGCUCAGAGAUACGUGUCGACUCGUGGCCUCAGCUCAAGAGUCCUGGACAAAGGCCUGGCGCUGGUGGAGCAGAUGGAGGAGAUGGUGGAGGAGUACGGCCUGGAGGAGGAGUUCCCGUCCGUGGCCAAGUUCGUGGAGAAUUUAAAGAUCUAUUUGGAGGACACCAAGGACUUCACAACUGAACACAUGGCCGCACUGGUGGAUGAAUUUGGAGAUAAAGAGCGGGAAAUAAAGUCACUGCUACUAAAGCUGCUGGAGGGCUGAAAUUAUUAUUAUUAUUAUUAUUAUUAUUAUUAACUCAAAUGUUAAGAUGAUGUUUAUGUGUUGUUAAUAAAAAUAAAGUUGCCUG